GCCCUGCGCUCCUUCCUGGCCGAGUUGAGCCGCGCGCCGCGCGGGGCGCCCGCACCACCCCAAGACCCGGCCAGCUCAGCUCGCAACAAGCGCAGCCACAGCGGCGAGCCCGCGCCGCAUAUCCGCGCCGAGAGCCAGGACAUGCUGAUGAUGAUGACCUACUCCAUGGUGCCGGACCUUCUGGACCACCAGGACCUCCGGGAGCUGGCGGGUUGCCAGGACACAAUGGAUCGGAUGGACAGCCUGGUCCUCAGGGCCCAAAAGGAGAAAAAGGAGCAAAUGGAAAAAGAGGAAAAAUGGGUAUUUUUGGCAACUCUUCUAAUUAAUUUCCCUGUUAUUUAUCUCUAUGAUUGCAUUUGGGUUGACUAAAGCUGUGUGCAGCAGGGGUAAGGUGUUUCAUCUCUGCACAGUUUAAGGCCAGUUUAACUCUUACCUAGAAGCCAUUGUGUUCUGGGAUACCAAGGGUAUUCUUCUUGGUCCCACCUUGACAGAUGUUUAUUUCAAACUGGAGAAGCCGUCUCCUGGGAACUGAUUCCCACCCUUCUGCUGCAGACGGGAGGUGGGAGGAGCAGGAGCCCACAGCCCUGGGAGGGGCACUCUGUGGGCCGUGUGACAGCUGGUGCUGGCGCAUGCUCUUUCGAGGCUCAGCUCCUGCCUUGCCCUCUAUUGCCUCCUCCUGCCCAGCAAAUCUGUGUUUGGUUGAAAAUCAAUGAACUGAUGUUGGCCCCUGGUAAGACGUUUCUUGGCUAGAGGAAUAGCUCAAACUGCUUGAGUGGAAAGGCAGCAUCCUGGCCUCCCUGAGGCCGGCACUCAGGUCAAAGGAUCUCCUCUUCAGGGGCUACAAGAUAACUAUGAAGAUAUGGCUGGCAUCUCAGAGGAGCUUCCUUUGCCCUGUUAUGAGCAGGCCAUCACCACUGGAGCAAAGGCCCAGAAGCACCAAGGCAUCAGAUGUGCCCAGGGAGCAGUAAGAAGCAGGGGCUGGUGCAGGGCCUGGCAGGAGGCUGGGCACAAAGGAGAAGAUUCUGAAGGGCUCUGAGCACC
rnacentral:sRNA from 1 species